ACUUUCAGUUUGGUUUUGGUAGUGUCAUAUAACAUUAUAAACAUAGCAAACUUACUGAACUUUGGAAAUGGCUCUUGCUUGUCAACAAAAUAGUUAUUGCAAGGAGUUUCAGACGAAAGUGAAAAGCUGUACUCCUGCAGAAUUGGCAGUACCUGGAAAAAGUAAGAAGGACAAGUUACGGGGCUAUGAAGUGAUCCUCGAGGACACCAUAUUGUUCCCGGAGGGUGGAGGACAGGUCUGUAGAAGAUGUAAAGAAUAAACCAGAAGCCAGAUGAUAGAGGAACGAUCAAUGAUGUAGAAGUUUUACGCAUCACAAGGCGUGGUGCCGAUUCUGUAAAUUUUGUCACCAAGGAGAUACAGCCAGGGUCAGAAGUUAAUCUCAAAGUAGACUGGAACAGGAGGUUUGACCACAUGCAGCAACAUACAGGACAGCAUUUGAUCACAGCAAUAGCAGAAAAAAUGUAUGGCUGCCCAACAACUUCAUGGUGUCUGGGUGAAAACAUAUCCUCCAUUGAGCUGGACAUUCCAUCCCUGACUGACAAGCAGGUAGAAGAUCUGGAAAAUGAGGUCAACGAGAGAAUCCUGGCCAGCAUUCCUGUCACACCUCAUCUGUACCACGACAAAGACGACCCAGAACUCAAACAGUUUCGUUGCCGAGGACUACCAGAUGACCACGUUGGACCUGUCCGCGUUCUCAUUAUAGAUGGAAUAGAUUCAACUCUCUGCUGCGGAACUCAUGUCUCUAAUCUCUCUCACCUACAGAUGAUCAAAUUGUUGUGGACGGAAAAAGGCAAGAAAAAGGACAGAAUCAAUCUGAUGUUUGUGGCAGGUGGUCGUGUGCUUCGAUACUUAGGUCGAUGUGUCAAAGUUGAAAGGUCACUCACAACAUUGCUUAAGGGACCUCUUGAUGAUCACUAUGAACUAGCAGAUAAGGCUGUGAAAGGAUGCAAGAUGAAUCAGAAGUAUGUUACAUCACUUUUACGAGAUCUUGCUGUAUUCGAGGGUCAAAAGUUCAAAGCUGACAGUAAUUCUUUCCUCAGUCUUCACAGGAAGGAGGGAGACUUGGAGUUUAUGAACAUCAUUGUCCAGCAAGUGGCCAAUCCUGAGAAGAUCUGCUUCUUGACAGUCGGGGAUGAGAAAGGUGCGGGCCUGUUCUUACUAUCAGGGCCAGAGAUUUUCAUCAAGGAGGUUGGACCAAAGGUGGCAGAAAUUCUGAAUGGAAAGGGUUCCAUUAACAGAGGGAAUUACCAAGGCAAGGCCAAUAAACUGUCACAGAAAGGGAAGGCUGAAAAGUUAAUCCAGGAAACGUUGUCCUCAAAAGACAGUCAGGUGAAGAGUCAGGACAACAGUUCACAGGAGAAAGAACCUUAAUAAAAGCCCAGACUUUUACACAUCAAUACACCAUUGUUACUUAUCUGUAUAUCAUUUACAUGUUUGUUGAUUUCUAUCAAAUCUGUUUCAGAAAGAGAAGUUGUUAUACAAAAUGUUGUGCCUAUUUUUUAUAAAUGUGUGCAUUUUAAACUGAAUUUUAAGCUGGAUUAUUGUAUAAAACUUUGAUAAAACA
rnacentral:misc_RNA from 1 species